rnacentral:lncRNA from 1 species
CAACCCAAUCCCGCAAAAAAAAAGAAAACCGACAGCAAAAAAAAAAAAAGGAGUAGCAGCUUAGUAUUUGAUUCAUGUAACUGACACCGUCAAGUCUCAGAAAAACAAAAAACAUGAUGAUGUUCAACCUGUUUCGUAUGUACACAGACAAAAAUUUCCAAGAACCGUUUCAACCCCAUUUCCAUUGGGAUCAAGGAAGUGACGGAGAGAAAUGGAGGCUGAGGGUUGCAUGAUCUAUGUCUGAAUUCAGAACCUAAUCAAAAACUUUACAGGACCUAACAAAUACUACUAUACGAAUACAAUUAACAAACUUUACAGGACCUCCUAGUUAACUUAACACCUACCCUUUUGUUCAAUACACCUCAGCUUCUGGUAUGCUUUGCAGGGCGGGCCUCCAGGAGCUUGGAUGAUGCGUCUCAUUUCCAUGAUCACUAAGGUUGUUGAGCAACUGUGUUAAAACCUCUUUCACCGGUUUCCCCUGCACAUCCACCUUACUCAGAAGUUCCUCCAACUGCUUCUUCGUGAUCUUGAUCUUCACCUCUGUCCCUGCUGUGGUAGACGAAGGAAAAGAUUUAGCCCCUGCUUCCCUCUAAGAAAACUCUGUUCCUCCAUUUUUGUUGGCUUCUUCUUCAUAUACAACCUGUUGUUGUCUUGGCCAGCCCCACCAGAAAACACGGUUUUUUGGGCCUCUGAUGGCAACGUCGACAGAGAGCCCCAAUCAUCCCCUCCCCAUUCUGUGGAGGAUUCUUUGACAAUACAGUUUCCCAUCUUCUAACAAAUGAAUGCUUGGAAUUGAUUACUAGUAUUGAAUUAAAGAGAGUAAGAUCUUGAUAAUGGCGUAAGUUGGUGUUAAAUUCAUAUAUAUAUAUAGAGAGAGAGAGAGAGAGAGAGAGAGAGAGGGACUCAGGAAGGCAGGUGGAGCCCGCGGGGAAUUCUUUUAAUGACCAAUUUGAACAGCCAAAAGAAUUACACAAAAGACAACAAUUAC